rnacentral:lncRNA from 1 species
GCAGGGGUGGCCACUGAGUUCCAUGGAUGGAAGCAGCACUGGGUCAUUGCUGUGGGACCCAGGAGAUGCUGGAAUUUCUUGGCCCUCUGUUGGACCCAAGCGCUGGCUUCUGCUUUCUGCCAGAACAAAACUUCUACUUCCCACCACUCUGCAGAGUCCCCAAGGCCGCCCUGGGCCAGAUGCUCCCCCAGAUGGUGAGCACAGGUGGACGGGGGCCACACCUGGCCAUGAGCUUCCAAUCAAGGACUGGGGACCAAGACAGGGGCCACGCAGCCGGGAGGCUCCAUCGCUCUGGAAGUCAUGGCAGGAGGGACAGUUGGUUAGAAGAACUUGAACUGGAAGCAAGCGAGACUGCAGGGGCAGCAAGGAGGGCUGCAGAGCUGCCAAGCCCUCCACAAUACAGCUGGUGCUUGAAUAACAGAAAAGACAAACCAGGCGCUCCAUGAGAUGCUCC